rnacentral:rRNA from 1 species
AUGGCGACCGGCGCACGGGUGAGUAACACGUAUCCAACCUGCCGAUGACUCGGGGAUAGCCUUUCGAAAGAAAGAUUAAUACCCGAUGGCAUAGUUCUUCCGCAUGGUAGAACUAUUAAAGAAUUUCGGUCCAUCGAGUGGGGAUGCGUUCCAUUAGGUUGUUGGCGGGGUAACGGCCCACCAACGCCUUCGAUGGAGUAGGGGUUCUGAGAGGAACGGUCCCCCCACAUUGGAACUGAGACACGGUCCAAACUCCUACGGGAGGCAGCAUG